rnacentral:rRNA from 1 species
CGAGCACGCGCGUGUGGCAUAUCAAUAAGCGGAGGAAAAGAAACUAACAAGGAUUCCCUUAGUAACGGCGAGUGAAGCGGGAAGAGCUCAAAUUUGAAAUCUUCAAGGUUCUACCUUGACGAAUUGUAGUUUAUAGAAGUGUUUUCUGUUAGUAGAGUGGCAAAAGUUCUUUGGAAUAGGACAUCAUAGAGGGUGAGAAUCCCGUAUUUGGUCAUUCUUUCUAGCUUUGUGAUACACUUUCAACGAGUCGGAUUGUUUGGGAAUGCAGUCCAAAAUGGGUGGUAAAUUUCAUCUAAAGCUAAAUAUUGGCGAGAGACCGAUAGCGAACAAGUACCGUGAGGGAAAGAUGAAAAGAACUUUGAAAAGAGAGUUAAACAGUACGUGAAAUUGUCAAAAGGGAAGCGUUUGACACCAGUGUUGUUUAGUUGAAAAUCAAUUAAAUAUUUUUCGAUUUUAAGUAGUAUUGACCUUCAUCAGCUUGCUGCUUUCUUUCUCAGGAAAUUAUUUAAUGCACUUUUCAGUUAACAAGUCAACAUCAAUUUCUUUUGUUGUAAAAGGGUAUGAGGAAGGUGGCCUUCUCUUUCGGCGCAAGUGUUUAUAGCCUUGUAGCCUCUGCAAUCGGAGAGAUUGAGGACUGCAGCGUAGACUCUUCGGGGUUAGAUACAGUUUGUGCUAAGUUAUAGCUUUUCAUAGACAACUUGUUGACUAUGCUUAGUCUUGUAGCUUACUCGCUGAUGCUAUUUUACCUACGCUUAGGAUGUUGAUGUGAUACUGCGAGCA